rnacentral:rRNA from 1 species
CGGUAGCAGGAAGUGCUUGCACUUUGCUGACGAGUGGCGGACGGGUGAGUAAUACUUAGGAACAUGCCUUUGUGUGGGGGAUAACCAUUGGAAACGAUGGCUAAUACCGCAUAAUGUCUUUGGACCAAAGAGGGCUUUCGGGCUCUCGCGCAAAGAGUGGCCCAAGUGAGAUUAGCUUGUUGGUGAGGUAAAGGCUCACCAAGGCGACGAUCUCUAGCUGUUCUGAGAGGAAGAUCAGCCACACUGGGACUGAGACACGGCCCAGACUCCUACGGGAGGCAGCAGUGGGGAAUAUUGCACAAUGGGGGCAACCCUGAUGCAGCCAUGCCGCGUGUGUGAAGAAGGCCUUCGGGUUGUAAAGCACUUUCAGUUGUGAGGAAAGGUUGAUGGUUAAUACCCAUCAGCUGUGACGUUAGCAACAGAAGAAGCACCGGCUAACUCCGUGCCAGCAGCCGCGGUAAUACGGAGGGUGCGAGCGUUAAUCGGAAUUACUGGGCGUAAAGCGCACGCAGGCGGUUAUAUAAGCUAGAUGUGAAAGCCCCGGGCUCAACCUGGGAAUAGCAUUUAGAACUGUAUGACUAGAGUCUUGGAGAGGGGAGUGGAAUUCCAGGUGUAGCG